GGGCCUAUAGCUCAGUCGGUUAGAGCGCUGUCCUGAUAAGACAGAGGUCACUGGUUCAAGUCCAGUUAGGCCCACCC
rnacentral:tRNA from 4 species